rnacentral:rRNA from 1 species
GUGAGGAAUAUUGGACAAUGGGCGCAAGCCUGAUCCAGCCAUGCCGCGUGCAGGAAGACGCAUCUAUGGUGUGUAAACUGCUUUUGUACGGGAAGAAACACUCCCUCGUGAGGGAGCUUGACGGUACCGUAAGAAUAAGGAUCGGCUAACUCCGUGCCAGCAGCCGCGGUAAUACGGAGGAUCCAAGCGUUAUCCGGAAUCAUUGGGUUUAAAGGGUCCGUAGGCGGUUUAAUAAGUCAGUGGUGAAAGCCCAUCGCUCAACGAUGGAACGGCCAUUGAUACUGUUAGACUUGAAUUACAAGGAAGUAACUAGAAUAUGUAGUGUAGCGGUGAAAUGCUUAGAUAUUACAUGGAAUACCAAUUGCGAAGGCAGGUUACUACUUGUGGAUUGACGCUGAGGAGCGAGAGCGUGGGGAGCAAACAGGAUUAGAAACCCUUGUAGUCC